rnacentral:lncRNA from 1 species
GGGGCCAUGUGAGUCCAAACAGGAUGACAACAUGCGAAGAGAGAGCGCCCGUGCCCACAUUGGGGAGGAGGGGCAGAGGGAAAGAGAGAGAGAAUCCCAAGCAAGAUUCCCCGAUGAACGCGGAGCCGGAUGUGGAGUUCAGUCCCACGACCCUGAGAUCAUGCCCCAAGCUGAAAUCAAGAGCCAGAGGCUUAACCAACUGAGCCACCCGGAGGCCCACUGAUUUCAUUUAUUUAUUUAUUUGUCAAAGAGAAAGAGAGCACAGCAGGGGGAGCCAGAAAGAGGGAGAAGCAGGUUCUCCACUGAACAGAAAGACCAAUAUGCAGGACUCAAUCCCAGGACCCUGGGAUCAUGACCUGACACGAAGGCAGACGCUUAACCGAGCCACCCAGGCAUCCUGUAACUUUAUAAUUCUUGACACUUUGCCAGGUAAGUCUCUUUUUCUUCCUCUUCAGGAAUGUUUAAGUUUUCAAUAAAGGCACUUAAAAACUUAAGGAAAAAAGUUGUCACGUUCCAGAAAAUAAUUCUUA